CAAGUCGAACGCAUUCUUCGGAAUGAGUGGCGCACGGCUGAGGAACACGUGACUAACCUACCCCGGUGUGGGGGAUAACGGGUCGAAAGACUCGCUAAUCCCGCAUACGAUUCACGCAAGUGAAGGAAAGCCGUACGGCGCACUGGGCGGGGGUCGCGUCCCAUUAGAUAGUUGGUGUGGUAAUGGCGCACCAAGUCGAUGAUGGGUCUCUGGUCUGAGAGGACGACCAGACAGAUUGGGACUGAGACACGGCCCAAACUCCUACGGGGGGCAGCAGCAAGGAAUUUUCGGCAAUGGGCGGAAGCCUGACCGAGCAACGCCGCGUGGAGGAUGACGGCUCUUGGGUUGUAAACUCCUUUUGGGGGGGACGAUAAUGACGGUACCCUCCGAAUCAGGCCCGGCUAACUACGUGCCAGCAGCCGCGGUAAUACGUAGGGGCCAAGCGUUGUCCGGAAUUACUGGGCGUAAAGCGUGGGUAGGUGGUCGAUGAUGUGCCGCGUGAAAGCGCCGGAGUAAUGCCGGCGAGGUCGCGGUAGACACGUUGACUAGAGGCUCGCAGAGGAACGUGGAAUUCCCGGUGUAGUGGUGAAAUGCGUAGAUAUCGGGAGGAACACCAGUGGCGCAAGCGGCGUUCUGGGCGAGACCUGACACUGAGCCACGACGGCGUGGGGAGCAAACAGGAUUAGAUACCCUGGUAGUCCACGCAGUAAACGAUGCAUACCAGGUGUGGGAUGGCGUUCGCGUCGUUCCGUGCC
rnacentral:rRNA from 1 species